rnacentral:rRNA from 1 species
GAGCAUGUGGUUUAAUUCGAUGAUACGCGAGGAACCUUACCAGGGCUUAAAUGCAGUCUGACAGGUCUGGAAACAGACUUUUCUUCGGACAGAUUACAAGGUGCUGCAUGGUUGUCGUCAGCUCGUGCCGUGAGGUGUCAGGUUAAGUCCUAUAACAAGCGCAACCCCUGUGGUUAGUUGCCAGCGAGUAAUGUCGGGAACUCUAGCCAGACUGCCGGUGCAAACCGCGAGGAAGGUGGGGAUGACGUCAAAUCAUCACGGCCCUUACGUCCUGGGCCACACACGUGCUACAAUGGUAGGGACAGAGAGCAGCCACUUCGCGAGAAGGAGCGAAUCUACAAACCCUAUCACAGUUCGGAUCGCAGUCUGCAACUCGACUGCGUGAAGCUGGAAUCGCUAGUAAUCGCAUAUCAGCCAUGAUGCGGUGAAUACGUUCCCGGGCCUUGUACACACCGCCCGUCAAGCCAUGGAAGCCGGGGGUACCUGAAGUCGGUCACCGCAAGGAGCCGCCUAGGGUAAAACUGGUAACUGGGGCUAAGUCGUAACAAGGUAACCGUA